GACAGAGGUGCCAAGCGUUAGGCGGAAUCACUGGGCUUAAAGCGUGUGUAGGCGGAGCGUUAAGUGCCUUGUGAAAUCCCCCGGCUCAACCGGGGAACGGCUGGGCAUACUGGCGUUCUUGAGCUGCCUAGGGGUCACUGGAACAAACGGUGGAGCGGUGAAAUGCGUAGAUAUCGUUUGGAACGCCCAAGGUGAAAACAGGUGACUGGGGGCAAGCUGACGCUGAGACACGAAAGCCAGGGGAGCAAACGGG
rnacentral:rRNA from 1 species